UACAGAGGGUGCGAGCGUUAAUCGGAAUUACUGGGCGUAAAGCGCGCGUAGGCGGCUUUGCAAGCCGGAUGUGAAAUCCCCGGGCUUAACCUGGGAACUGCAUUCGGGACUGCAUUGCUAGAGUAUGGGAGAGGGAAGUGGAAUUUCAGGUGUAGCGGUGAAAUGCGUAGAUAUCUGAAGGAACAUCAGUGGCGGAAGCGACUUCCUGGACCAAUACUGACGCUCAUGUGCGAAAGCGUGGGGAGCAAACAGG
rnacentral:rRNA from 1 species